rnacentral:rRNA from 1 species
ACAUUACAGCCAGGCGAAGACAGAUUCAGAUCGAUCACUCGAUCGUACUACGAUGAAGUUGAUGGAGCUCUUCUAGUUUAUGACAUCACCAGGAGGGAAACGUUCAAUCAUCUCACAAGCUCAUUAAGGGGUGUGAGGCGACUUGCAAAGGACAACAUGACAAUAAUGCUAGUUGGAAACAAAUGUGAUCUAUCUCUGAGGCGUGCUGUGAGCUAUGAGGAAGGUAGGAAGUUCGCAAAUGAGCAUGGUCUGAUCUUUGUGGAGGCAUCUGCGAAAACUGCGCAAAAUGUUGAGGAGGGUUUCGUUCAGACUGCUCGAGUCAUAUUCAAGAAAAUCCAGGAUGGUGUCUUCUAA